rnacentral:piRNA from 1 species
UUAUAGGAAAUGUUCCUUGUGCUGGAAUUC